UGAGUGUCCAGCUGCCGAAGUGGGAAAGGGAAACCCUCCUCUCCGGAACAGACACCCCCUGAGAAGUCUAUUUGUGGGAGAAGUUUCCGACUUUACCUGGAGCUGAGUCAGUCUGGAGAGCUGACUGAAAUACAGGGAUAGAGGAGGCAGCAGCAAGGCCCUGGGAGCUGAAUGGGUCCCCGGGCAGCCCAUUCCUGCCUGGCACCACAGGGAUCCAACGGGAGAGGAACAGAGGGUAAAACUACACGGAGAGAAGGAAAUCUCUAGCUGAACUUUGUAACAAUUCGAACAGCGUGAGAAGUCUCCUGGCCAGAACUCGGGGGAGGACACAAAUCUCCUGCACAGUUAAUAUCCAGAGUCACACGUGGAGAGGAAGCAUCACAAUGAGACCAUACAACCAUAUAAUCUGUUCAAGUCCUAGAAGGUGUUGGCAGAGCUGCAGG
rnacentral:lncRNA from 1 species